CCUACGGGGUGCAGCAGUGGGGAAUAUUGCACAAUGGGGGAAACCCUGAUGCAGCGACGCCGCGUGAGUGAAGAAGUAUCUCGGUACGUAAAGCUCUAUCAGCAGGGAAGAAAAUGACGGUACCUGACUAAGAAGCCCCGGCUAACUACGUGCCAGCAGCCGCGGUAAUACGUAGGGGGCAAGCGUUAUCCGGAUUGACUGGGUGUAAAGGGAGCGUAGACGGCAGCACAAGUCUGGAGUGCACUCCCGGGGCUUAACCCCGGAACUGCUUUGGAAACUGUGCGGCUGGAGUGCAGGAGGGGUAAGCGGAAUUCCUAGUGUAGCGGUGAAAUGCGUAGAUAUUAGGAGGAACCCCGGUGGCGACGGCGGCUUACUGGACUGUAACUGACGUUGAGGCUCGACAGCGUGGGGAGCACACAGGAUUAGAUACCCGGGUAGUC
rnacentral:rRNA from 1 species